rnacentral:rRNA from 1 species
GUGCCAGCAGCCGCGGUAAUACGUAGGGCGCAAGCGUUGUCCGGAUUUACUGGGUUUAAAGGGUGCGUAGGCGGAUUGUUAAGUCAGUGGUGAAAGAUUCGAGCUCAACUCGGAAACUGCCAUUGAUACUGAUGAUCUCGAAUACAGUUGAGGUAGGCGGAAUAUUACAUGUAGCGGUGAAAUGCUUAGAUAUGUAAUAGAACACCGAUUGCGAAGGCAGCUUGCUAAGCAAACAUUGACGCUGAGGCACGAAAGCGUGGGGAUCAAACAGGAUUAGAUACCCGAGUAGUCC